rnacentral:rRNA from 1 species
UGCAGAGGUCUCAAGCGUUGUUCGGAUUCAUUGGGCGUAAAGGGUGCGUAGGCGGCGCGGUAAGUCGGGUGUGAAAUCUUGGAGCUUAACUCCGAAACUGCAUUCGAUACUGCGGUGCUUGAGGACUGGAGAGGAGACUGGAAUUCAUGGUGUAGCAGUGAAAUGCGUAGAGAUCAUGAGGAAGACCAGUGGCGAAGGCGGGUCUCUGGACAGUUCCUGACACUGAGGCACGAAGGCCAGGGGAGCAAACGGG